CAGCAUAUAUGCUCUUAACUCAAAUCUAUCCAAAAAUAUCAAGAUCGGUCGAUGCUGCACCUUGGGGAUCGCACCUACGUUCACUUUCAUUACGCGCAUGGGUUUGCCACCCAAACACUUGCAUAUAUGUUAGACUCCUUGGUCCGUGUUUCA
rnacentral:rRNA from 1 species